rnacentral:rRNA from 1 species
GGAAGUAAAAGUCGUAACAAGGUUUCCGUAGGUGAACCUGCGGAAGGAUCAUUAACGAGUUUUGAAACGAGUUGUAGCUGGCCUUCCGAGGCAUGUGCACGCUCUGCUCAUCCACUCUACCCCUGUGCACUUACUGUAGGUUGGCGUGGGCUCCUUAACGGGAGCAUUCUGCCGGCCUAUGUAUACUACAAACACUUUAAAGUAUCAGAAUGUAAACGCGUCUAACGCAUCUAUAAUACAACUUUUAGCAACGGAUCUCUUGGCUCUCGCAUCGAUGAAGAACGCAGCGAAAUGCGAUAAGUAAUGUGAAUUGCAGAAUUCAGUGAAUCAUCGAAUCUUUGAACGCACCUUGCGCUCCUUGGUAUUCCGAGGAGCAUGCCUGUUUGAGUGUCAUGGAAUUCUCAACUUAUAAAUCCUUGUGAUCUAUAAGCUUGGACUUGGAGGCUUGCUGGCCCUUGUUGGUCGGCUCCUCUUGAAUGCAUUAGCUCGAUUCCGUACGGAUCGGCUCUCAGUGUGAUAAUUGUCUACGCUGUGACCGUGAAGUGUUUUGGCGAGCUUCUAACCGUCCAUUAGGACAACUUUUUAACAUCUGACCUCAAAUCAGGUAGGACUACCCGCUGAACUUAAGCAUAUC